rnacentral:rRNA from 1 species
GACGAACGCUGCGGCGUGCUAAUACAUGCAAGUAGACCGCUGAAGGAGGAGCUUGCUUCUCUGGAUGAGUUGCGAACGGGUGAGUAACGCGUAGGUAACCUGCCUGGUAGCGGGGGAUAACUAUUGGAAACGAUAGCUAAUACCGCAUAAGAGUAGAUGUUGCAUGACAUUUGCUUAAAAGGUGCAAUUGCAUCACUACCAGAUGGACCUGCGUUGUAUUAGCUAGUUGGUGAGGUAACGGCUCACCAAGGCGACGAUACAUAGCCGACCUGAGAGGGUGAUCGGCCACACUGGGACUGAGACACGGCCCAGACUCCUACGGGAGGCAGCAGUAGGGAAUCUUCGGCAAUGGACGGAAGUCUGACCGAGCAACGCCGCGUGAGUGAAGAAGGUUUUCGGAUCGUAAAGCUCUGUUGUAAGAGAAGAACGAGUGUAGA